UACGUAGGGCGCAAGCGUUAUCCGGAAUCACUGGGCGUAAAGGGUGCGUAGGCGGGUCUUUUAAGUCAGGGGUGAAAUCCUGGAGCUCAACUCCAGAACUGCCUUUGAUACUGAAGAUCUUGAGUUCGGGAGAGGUGAGUGGAACUGCGAGUGUAGAGGUGAAAUUCGUAGAUAUUCGCAAGAACACCAGUGGCGAAGGCGGCUCACUGGCCCGAUACUGACGCUGAGGCACGAAAGCGUGGGGAGCAAACAGGG
rnacentral:rRNA from 1 species